AGGAUAUGAGAGAGACAGGAAAGAAGAAGGGAUUGGGGGGAAGGAGUAUGAGUUAGGCAGACUCAUUUUCACAGGUGCAGAUAAUUUAACAUGUGAAAGAGAUAACAAGCUGCAGGUGUUUAGAUUGGUUUUUGGAGGCUUGGUCAUGUUCCUGAACUUGCGUUACACUAACUUCAUUUAAAUCCAUACCAACGAAGUGAGACGUGCUGGAUAUAAGGAGCUUGGCCAGAUGGUUUAUCGGCUCUGCUCCGGCUGUGGUGUUGCUAAUGGAGUGAAGCACGGAGCUGUAAAAUAACAACAGCAACAGGCUACAACGAGGAACACCCAUGACUGAACAUUAAGUGUGGAGGUAUGGAGCAUCUGUCACACUGUGAAAAGCAGUACAAAUGGUUUGAAAACGAGGUGUGUUAGUUGUCAAAUUGAACCUGACAUGACCCAAUCUGACAAAAAUACAGAAAAAGUCAUGUGUAAAGCCAAAAAAAGGAAAACCUUUGACCUCAAAUAGAUCAAUACGUUGGUUUAAAGUAUUUUCAAGCUUUUGUUGAAGAGCAGUGAUAAGUCUUCUUUCAAAUUAUUGGCAGCAAUUGACUAUGUGCUGAAAAUAAAGCAGCUGCAUUGAGCAGUAAAGCCAAGAGCAGGGUCAAAUGCUAAAUAAGAAGACAUUGGCACUGGAGACACCCUGGGGAAACCUCUUCCUCUGUGUCCUUAUUCUCUUCCUCCUCCAUCCUCACUCUCCCACCCACCACCCCUCACCCUCUCCCCUACCUUGAUGCCAAACCUCCAUGACCUAGGCCAAGAUCAAUAGUGCAGUUUAAAGAGGAUGGACUGUGUAAAUAGAGACGAUGGAUCCUGCCGAUGAGGAUGCCCUGACCACUGAUGGCCUCUGACGGCUGCGGUAGCAUUUGAUCAAGUCCAGCAUUGAUGGCUGUCAAUACGUUCAGCAUCAGAGACGUUUGGAUCCUGUCAGGAGGACAUCAGGACUGUAAAAUGUUUAGAGGUUGGAUCCAAAGAUGAGUGGUCAAUUUUUUAGAUAAUUUUCUGUUUGAGUGCUACAAGUGAGUGAGGCCUUCAGGGAUGUGGAGUUAAAGGCAGAUAUUGGAAAAUGGACACUCAAUAACAGUUUCCCAUGAGUGUCCGCGUGUGCACAUUCACCUUGUUCAGUUCAGAGCGACUGAAGCAUAAAGUCAUCCGUUUAAUAUGCAUCUUACAAAUUAAAAAAGCAACGGUAAUCACAUUGA